rnacentral:rRNA from 1 species
UACGGAGGGUGCAAGCGUUAUCCGGAUUCACUGGGCUUAAAGGGUGCGUAGGAGGGUAGGUAAGUCAGUGGUGAAAUCUUCGAGCUUAACUCGGAAACUGCCGUUGAUACUAUCUAUCUUGAAUACCGUGGAGGUGAGCGGAAUAUGUCAUGUAGCGGUGAAAUGCUUAGAUAUGACAUAGAACACCAAUUGCGAAGGCAGCUCGCUACACGAAUAUUGACUCUGAGGCACGAAAGCGUGGGGAUCAAACAGG